rnacentral:lncRNA from 1 species
GUCGGCGUUCCGACGACGUCACGUGGUGGGGGUACCGUACUAGCGUGCCGGAGGACCGAGAAAGGGUGUGAGAUAAAGCGAGAGGAAGGGAAGGGCAACGUUACGAUAAUCGGAGUGGUGGGGAUAGUCCGAACGAUGCCUCGAGAGGGGCCAGACGAGGCGAGGUGUUCCAGAUAGCUGAUUAUCUCUCAAAGUACCCACAAAA